rnacentral:rRNA from 1 species
GAUGAACGCUGGCGGCGUGCUUAACACAUGCAAGUCGAACGGAAAGGCCAGUGCUUGUACUGGUGCUCGAGUGGCGAACGGGUGAGUAACACGUGGGUGAUCUGCCCUGCACUUUGGGAUAAGCCUGGGAAACUGGGUCUAAUACCAGAUAGGACCCUGCCUUGGAUGGUGAGGUGGAAAGUUUUUUCGGUGUGGGAUGAGCUUGCGGCCUAUCAGCUUGUUGGUGGGGUAAUGGCCUACCAAGGCGUCGACGGGUAGCCGGCCUGAGAGAGUGUACGGCCGCAUUGGGACUGAGAUGCGGCCCAGACUCCUACGGGAGGCAGCAGUGGGGAAUAUUGCACAAUGGGCGCAAGCCUGAUGCAGCGACGCCGCGUGGGGGAUGACGGCCUUCGGGUUGUAAACUCCUUUCGCAACUGACGAAGCUUUUUGUGACGGUAGGUUGAGAAGAAGCACCGGCUAACUACGUG